UUGAUCCUACGGGGGGCAGCAGUGAGGAAUAUUGGUCAAUGGACGAGAGCCUGAACCAGCCAAGUAGCGUGAAGGAUGACUGCCCUAUGGGUUGUAAACUUCUUUUAUAGGGGAGUAAAAAGUUCCACGUGUGGGAUAUUGUAUGUACCAUAUGAAUAAGGAUCGGCUAACUCCGUGCCAGCAGCCGCGGUAAUACGGAGGAUCCGAGCGUUAUCCGGAUUUAUUGGGUUUAAAGGGAGCGUAGGUGGAGUGUUAAGUCAGUGGUGAAAGUUUGCGGCUCAACCGUAACA
rnacentral:rRNA from 1 species